rnacentral:tRNA from 1 species
ACUUAAGUAUUUUAUAAAAAUAAAGAUUUGUGAUAUCUUAGAUGCAUAAUAUUAAUUACGCCUUAAGUU